ensembl:lncRNA uncharacterized LOC110391744
CCCGUCCUCUGCCCCAAAACCCCGGGAUUUGGCCCCAAAAUUCUGCGUCUCCAUCGCGGGUCCCAAACUUCUGAGGUUUGGCCCCAAAACUCCGCGUCCGUCUGCCCCGAAACCCCAGGAUUUGGCCCCAAAAUGUUGUGUUCCUCUGCCCAAAAACUCCGCGUCUCCAUCGCGUGUUCGGAAGUUCUGAGGUUCGGCCCCAAAACUCCGCGUCUCCAUCGCAGGUCCCAAACUUCUGAGGUUUGGCCCCAAAAUGUCGCAUCCCUCUGCCCCAAAAUCCUGAGUUUUGGCCCCGAAAUGUUGCGUCCCUCUGCCCCUAAACCCCGAGGUUUGGCCCCAAAACUCCGCGUCCCCAUUGCGUGUCCCAAACUUCUGAGGUUCGGCCCCAAAACCCCAGGAUUUGGCCCCAAAAUUCCAUGUCCCCAUCACGGGACCCAAACUUCUCAAGUUCGGCCCCAAAAUGUUGCGUCCCUCUGCCCUGAAACCACAGGAUUUGGACCCAAAACUCCACGUCCCUCGGCCCCAAAAUCCCGAGGUUUGGCCCCAAAAUGUUGUCUCCCUCUGCCCUGAAACCCCAGGAUUUGGCCCCAAAAUGCCGCGUCCCCGUUCUCUGCCCCAAAACCCCGUGGUUCGGCCCCAAAAUGUUGCGUCCCUCUGCCCCAAAACCCCAGGAUUUGGACCCAAAACUCCGCGUCCCUCUGCCUGGAAACGCUGCGUCCCCGUCCUCUGCCCCAAAACCAAGAGGACUGGCCCCAAAACUCCACUUCUCCAUCGCGGGUCCCAAACUUCUGAGGUUUGGCCCCAAAAUGUUGCGUCGCUCUGCCCCAAAAUGCUGAGUUUUGGCCCCAAAAUGCCGCGUCCCCGUCCUCUGCCCCAAAACCCUGCGGUUUGGCCCCAAAUUCCCGAGGUUUGGCUCCAAAAAGCUGCACUCCCAUCACGUGUCCCCAAACCCCGGGGUUUAGCCCCAAAAUGCUGCGUGGGCACGGAAUGUCCCCAAACGCGUCCCGGUGUUACCGCAGUAGGUGUCCCCAAAUGCGUCCCGGUGUCACCGCGGUGGUGUCCCCAGCUGCGUCCCGGUGUCACCACGGUGGUGUCCUCAACUGCGUCCUGGUGUCACUGCAGUGGGUGUCCCCAAACACGUCCCGGUGUCACCGCGGUGGUGUCCCCGACUGCAUCCCGGUGUCACCGCAGUGGGUGUCCCCAGCUGCGUCCCGGUGUCACCACAGUGGUGUCCCCAAACACGUCCCGGUGUCACCACGGUGGGUGUCCCCAAAUGCAUCCCGGUGUCACCGCGGUGGGUGUCUCCAGCUGGGUCCCGGUGUCACCGCAGUGGUGUCCCCAGCCGCGUCCCCAUGUCGUUGCGGUGGCUGUACCCAACCAUGUCCCGGUGUCACCGCGGUGGUGUCCCGGACCAUGUCCCGGUGUCAUCACGGUGGGUGUCCCAAACUGCGUCCCGGAGUCACCAGGGUGCCUGUUCCCAACCACGUCCCGGUGUCACCACAGUGGGUGUCCCCAGUCUCGUCCUGGUGUCACUGCGGUGGUGUCCCUGACCGCAUCCCGGUGUCACCGUGGUGGCUGUCCCCAACCAUGUCCUGGUGUCACUGCAGUGGGUGUCCCCAGUCUCAUCCCGGUGUCACUGCAGUGGGUGUCCCCAGUCUCAUCCCGGUGUCACUGCAGUGGGUGUCCCCAGUCUCAUCCUGGUGUCACCGCGGUGGUGUCCCGGACCGCGUCCCAGUAUCACCAUGGUGGGUGUCCCCACACCCCCUGUCCUCUCGUGGUUGUGGUGAUGUCACCGUGCCAACCUCGUGCUGUUGGGCGCCUCCGUGUCACCCAAAUGGUCACCUUGUCACCCAAAACGUCACCGUGACACCACUUGCACGCCGGCUGUUGUCUCCUGGAGGUGACCGUCGCGCCGACCUCGUUGCGUUGGGUGUCGUGGUGUCACCCGAAGUGCCACCAUCCGAGGUCCACCCAUCAGCUGUGGUCUCCCGGAGGUGAACGCUGUGCUCGCGCCGACCGCGUCCCGCUGGGUGUUGUUGCGUCACCCGAACCGCCGCCGCCGCGACAGCACCGCCUGUUUCCAACCACGUUGCACCGCGGUCUUCGUGUCACCCGCAGGCCACCAUCGCUGCGUCCUCACCAUGGCUGCAGUGACACUGGGCAGUUGGGGGUCUCUGUGUCACAGCCGCGACCCGCAGCGCCGCACUGCCCCACACCAGCACCUCGUGGCCAGGAACACCAUCGCCGCAGCUGCAACCGUAGAACUUGUCGCGGUGUUGUCGCGUUGGGGGUAUCUGCAUCAGCCAAAGCACCAUGCUCGUCNNNNNNNNNNNNNNNNNNNNNNNNNNNNNNNNNNNNNNNNNNNNNNNNNNNNNNNNNNNNNNNNNNNNNNNNNNNNNNNNNNNNNNNNNNNNNNNNNNNNNNNNNNNNNNCCCAAAUCACAGCGCUCGUCGCGGUGUUGUCACGUUGAGUGUAGCUGCGCGGUCUCCCUGCACCGUCCUCCCCACGCCGCGCUCAGCGCUGUGCUUGCGCUGUCCAGGUCCACGUGGUGAGCACAGUGUCACCAUCACCACGUCCCCAAAUUUCCCCCGGUGCCGUCACCACGAAGUCCCCGUCCCCAUCCCUGUCCCCACGCCGUUCUCCGUCCGUGUCAGUGUCACCCCGGGCCAUGACCCACACCCGCUCUGGUCCCUGUCACUCUGUCGCUCUGUCGCUCUGUCACUCUGUCACCGCUGUCCCCUCGCUGUCCCCUCGUUAGUGACGCGGCGCUGUUCUCUGACAGACGUGGCCGCUGCCGCGCUCAUGAAGUUGUAAUUAGCAUCAGUAACGAGCGGCCGGGCAAAGCCUGUCCCAGGCGGCACGGGACC